UUUGANGUCNANCCCCGUACCAACCGCGUGAGGGAUGANAGCCUGUGGGUUGUAAACCUCUUUUCUCAAGGAAGAAGUUCUGACGGUACUUGAGGAAUAAGCAUCGGCUAACUCUGUGCCAGCAGCCGCGGUAAUACAGAGGAUGCAAGCGUUAUCCGGAAUCACUGGGCAUAAAGCGUCUGUAGGUGGUUUGNUAAGUCUGCUGUUAAAGACUAGGGCUUAACCCUAGAAAAGCAGUGGAAACUGCCAAACUUGAGUNUGGUAGAGGUACAGGGAAUUCCUAGUGUAGCGGUGAAAUGCGUAGAUAUUAGGAAGAACACCAAUGGCGAAAGCACUNUACUGGGCCACAACUGACACUGAGAGACGACAGCUAGGGGAGCAAAUGGGAUUAGAUACCCCA
rnacentral:rRNA from 1 species